UACGUAGGGGGCAAGCGUUGGCCGGAAUCAUUGGGCGUAAAGCGCGUGUAGGCGGCCAGAAAAGUCCGCUGUGAAAACUCGAGGCUCAACUUCGAGCUGUCGGUGGAAACUUUCUGGCUAGAGUCCGGAAGAGGAGAAUGGAAUUCCUGGUGUAGCGGUGAAAUGCGCAGAUAUCAGGAAGAACACCGGUGGCGAAGGCGGGUCUCUGGGCCGAUACUGACGCUGAGGGAGCGAAAGCGUGGGGGAGCGAACAGG
rnacentral:rRNA from 1 species